CGGCGCGUCGGGCGCGAAGCGCGCCGCGUCCACCGCGGCACCUUGCGCAACCGCCGAGAGCAUGGCCGCUUCGAGCGUGGCCGCGCUGUC
rnacentral:tRNA from 1 species